CCUACGGGAGGCAGCAGUGAGGAAUAUUGGUCAAUGGCCGGAAGUCUGAACCAGCCAUGCCGCGUGCGGGAAGACGGCGCUGUGCGUUGUAGACCUCUUUUGUACAAGGAUAAACCUGCAUACUUGUAUUCUGCUGAAAGUACUGUACGAAUAAGGAUCGGCUAACUCCGUGCCAGCAGCCGCGGUAAUACGGAGGAUCCAAGCGUUAUCCGGAUUUAUUGGGUUUAAAGGGUGCGUAGGCGGAUUGAUAAGUUGGCGGUGAAAUGUCCGAGCUUAACUCCGGAACUGCCUCUAAUACUGUUGAUCUAGAGAGUAGAUGCGGCAGGCGGAAUGUAUGGUGUAGCGGUGAAAUGCUUAGAGAUCGUACAGAACCCCGAUUGCGAAGGCAGCUUACCAAUCUAUCUCUGACGUUGAGGCACGAAAGCGCGGGGAGCAAACAGGAUUAGAUACCCCAGUAGUC
rnacentral:rRNA from 1 species